GUGAGGAAUAUUGGUCAAUGGGCGGGAGCCUGAACCAGCCAAGUCGCGUGAAGGAAGAAGGAUCUAUGGUUCGUAAACUUCUUUUGCAGGGGAAUAAAGUGCAGGACGUGUCCUGUUUUGUAUGUACCCUGAGAAUAAGGAUCGGCUAACUCCGUGCCAGCAGCCGCGGUAAUACGGAGGAUCCGAGCGUUAUCCGGAUUUAUUGGGUUUAAAGGGUGCGUAGGUGGUUUGAUAAGUCAGCGGUGAAAGUUUGUAGCUUAACUGUAAAAAUGCCGUUGAAACUGUCGGACUUGAGUGUAAAUGAGGUAGGCGGAAUGCGUGGUGUAGCGGUGAAAUGCAUAGAUAUCACGCAGAACUCCGAUUGCGAAGGCAGCUUACUAAGCUACAACUGACACUGAAGCACGAAAGCGUGGGGAUCAAACAGGAUUAGAAAACCCAGUAGUCC
rnacentral:rRNA from 1 species